UUGAUGUUUUUCUUUAAUCGCAUCGGCUCCUAAUGCUUCCGAACUGUGUGUUUUGCAGGUUUCCUCCUUUUCCAUCGCUUAUCCUUCCUUCCCGUGUUCGCUCUAUGGGUUCCCUCGUUUACAGGAGCGCGGAAGUUCAAUUUCUUGAGGAGAUUCAAAAACCUAGGGUAGCAAAGGGCACAUCAUGUCGCCUGGGGUUCUGAUCUCGAGAGGACGUCAAGAUCGAGAGUGUUCCACGGCAAGAAUUAGGUCGGCAUUGAGACAUCGUUUUGGACGGAACGGGGUGGCCAGGUUAAAGUACACAUUACCCGGAAGGACAUGACCUACGAAGUGAGCUAGCACCUUGAUUCGUUCCUAAAUUGGGGAUCAUGGGCUGUUCUUCAGCACCAUUUAAGGGUGAGGUCAGCCUUUCUUCUCCUUUUAGCUGGUUUGAGGAAGGGAAGUGAUGCUGUAUUGAUGAU